GGGAAAAGGAACAGAGUAUGCCUGGUUCGGCAGCACCUCCUCCCUCUUCUCUUUUUUGCCCGAUCCACUUUGCUCUUACAAAGGCAGAUUUAAAGUUAAGAGAGUGGCAUGGUCAAAGAGAAAUAAGAACCAAUAAGGGGGGGCACCUGACCCAGCCUAAAACACAGUGCCCAGAGGAGCUGACAUCUGAGCUAAGUCUUCAAGGAUUGGCAGAUACUACCAGCUGAAGAACUGAGGUGGCAUGGAUUCUAUCCUUCAUGUUUAUAACUCCCAGUGACAUUUCCCCUCAUCCCCCACAUACAUGAGUCACUCAUUACUAACAUUUAUUUAAGGCCCUGCUACUUGGCAGGCACUGUGCUAAAACUUCAAAAUGACCAAGUAAGGUAUAAUGAAGAAGACAUGUAAUGAACUAAAUGCAGGACUAGGGGUGUAGCCCAGUGGUACAGGGGGUGCUUAGUAGGCACAGGGUCCUGGAUUCAAUCGACAGCACCAAAAAAGAAAAAAAUAAAUGAAUGAAUAAAUAAAUGCAAUAAAACACUACAGUACUGUGUUGGGACACAGAAGAGCAGCCAGGGAGGGAGGGCCAGGAAAGGUCUCCUAAGAGCUGGUGAAGAAAGUUAUUUAAAGAUGAAUGGGUAUUAGCCAACCAGGGAGGCUAUUCCAGGCAGAGGGGACAUUAUGUUCAAAGGCACUGAGGAGUGAAACAGCCUGACUUGUGGAGGAAAUCAAGUUUGGCAAGGUUAAUGCACAAGAUGGGGUCCCUAAGAAGCAUAAAGUCAUCGGAUCAGGCCUAACCCUACAGACUAAUUCCUAUCCUCUCCGUGGGACACUGAGUGUGGCCAGCACGGGUCUGCCCCCACCUUGGAUGCAACUCCAGGGUCCUCUCUCUGUCUUUGCACCAUGAAGUCCAGUCUCUGCUCUUUGAGGAAAGAACUAGCCUGAUUUGUGAAAAUAGCACGAACUGCAGAGUUCAGAUGCUGGCCUAUGAAUGUGUGACUUUGGGCAAUUUUUGAAAAUCUCUGCUCUAGUUUCCUUCUAUUUGUACAAUGGGUUGAUAUCUACCUCACAGAAUUGUUUCAAAGAUUAAAGAGACUUCAUCUUUGUGGAGG